rnacentral:rRNA from 12 species
AAAUUGAAGAGUUUGAUCAUGGCUCAGAUUGAACGCUGGCGGCAGGCCUAACACAUGCAAGUCGAACGGUAACAGGAAGCAGCUUGCUGCUUCGCUGACGAGUGGCGGACGGGUGAGUAAUGUCUGGGAAACUGCCUGAUGGAGGGGGAUAACUACUGGAAACGGUAGCUAAUACCGCAUAA